CUCUUCUCGAACCCGGCAGUUAAGCCCACCCGCGCCGAGGGUACUUGGGGGGUAGCCCCCUGGGAGAUUAGGUCGAUGCCAACU
rnacentral:rRNA from 1 species